UCCUAUGUAGUUUAAAACAAAACACAGAUUUUGUAAAUCUGAGAUCUCUUAGAGCUUAGGAA
rnacentral:tRNA from 1 species